CUCCGGUUGCCGCUGUUGUAAAAUUAUUAACUGUUGUCGUUAUCGUUGCUUACUUUUCUUCUUUCAGGUAAAGCAAAGACCUCAAGUUGAAAAUUACGAUCAGAGAGAAGAAAAUGAUUGAAAGAGAAAGAAGAAAUAAAACGUCCAAGAAAGUAUCAGCGUGGAAAGGAAGGAUAAACUGACGAACAACCGGGGGUCGCUAGACGCAUGUGUGUUGUUAUAAAUGUUAGUACCACAAGGUAGAUAACGAUAAUAAAGUUUUAAGAAAGUUGUUUGAAGGGUGGGUGGGGGAAUAAAACUGUCUAAAAUGAUUGUAAUAUUACUGUAUUCUACGAUUGUAAGAGGAAGAUAGUAAUAUUACUAUUGUUAUAUACAUGUAUAAUAAAAGAUUGUAUUGUAAUACUGUA